rnacentral:rRNA from 1 species
GCGCAAUGGACGAAAGUCUGACGCAGCAACGCCGCGUGAGGGAUGAAGGCCUUCGGGUUGUAAACCUCUUUUCUCAGGGACGAUAAUGACGGUACCUGAGGAAUAAGCCACGGCUAACUACGUGCCAGCAGCCGCGGUAAUACGUAGGUGGCGAGCGUUGUCCGGAUUUACUGGGCGUAAAGAGCGCGCAGGCGGUCGUGCAAGUCGCGUGUGAAAGCCCCCGGCUCAACUGGGGAGGGUCACGCGAUACUGUUCGACUUGAAGGCAGGAGAGGGAAGUGGAAUUCCCGGUGUAGUGGUGAAAUGCGUAGAUAUCGGGAGGAACACCAGUGGCGAAGGCGACUUCCUGGCCUGUUCUUGACGCUGAGGCGCGAAAGCUAGGGUAGCAAACGGGAUUAGAUACCCCGGUAGUCCUAGCCGUAAACGAUGGACACUAGGUGUUGGUGGUAUCAACCCCGCCAGUGCCGAAGCUAACGCAUUAAGUGUCCCGCCUGGGGAGUACGGCCGCAAGGCUA